UACAGAGGUCUCAAGCGUUGUUCGGAUUCAUUGGGCGUAAAGGGUGCGUAGGCGGCGCGGUAAGUCGGGUGUGAAAGUCUCGGAGCUUAACUCCGAAACUGCAUUCGAUACUGCCGUGCUUGAGGACUGGAGAGGAGACUGGAAUUUACGGUGUAGCGGUGAAAUGCGUAGAUAUCGUAAGGAAGACCAGUGGCGAAGGCGGGGUCUCUGGACAGUUCCUGACGCUGAGGCACGAAGGUCAGGGGAGCAAACGGG
rnacentral:rRNA from 1 species